rnacentral:lncRNA from 1 species
UACCAUUUUCCCAAACAUACAAUUACACAAUCAUUCCCAAAUGUCAAACCCAACUCACAUCUCUCACCAAAAGAUCCUAAGAACUUUAACUCCUUCUCUUUGAAAUCUACAAGGGAUUUUUCACAACUUCAAAACAUUUCUUAGCUCCUAACAACUUUGCUAGCCCCCUUUUUCUUUUUUUUUUUUUUUUUUUUUUUUUUUUUUCUUUUCUCUUUUUUUUUCGUUUUUCUUUUUUCCUUUUUUUUUUUUAGGCUGGGGGCCAAGACUUUUCAAAACUUGAGCUAGAGGCUUCUAUACUGGUCCCAAUAAAACAAUUCACUUAAGCACAAAGAGUCUAUUCUUUUCCUUUUUCAUUUCUCCCAAAUCAUAAUCACAACACUCACCCCCACCUAUAGCUAGACAAUAGAGUGUCCAAUCUAGCAAGAAUGAAGAUCAAGCAUUGUCGUUCCCGAUACUCUCAACAUUAUGCACAUGUAAGACUUUCCGAAAAAAGCCUCACUCAUCAAACAAUGAAAGCUUAAAAGGAGGAAAAGGUUUUGGGAGUGGUCUACCACUAGAGUUUGUCA